CUUCCUGAAGCCUUAAAAAUUGGGUUCUGCCCCACAGCACCUCCUGGGAAAUAUCCUAAUGGUUUCAGAGAUGUGCUGAGGGAGCUGAUCCGGGAUGAAGGAGUCACAUCCUUGUACAAAGGGUUCAAUGCAGUGAUGAUCCGAGCCUUCCCAGCCAAUGCGGCCUGUUUCCUUGGCUUUGAAGUUGCCAUGAAGUUCCUUAAUUGGGCCAUCCCCAACUUGUGAGUCUGAAGGCUGCUCAAGGCUUCUGGAUGCUGGAAGCUGUCGCUGAGGAGAAGGAGUAGUGGGCAGAACUAAGCAGUCUUGGAGGGCAAGGGGAGGGGAAUGGUGGGAUCAGAGCCCUGUGCAUGGACUUGGUGAGACUGUUGCCUUAAUGACAUCCUGCACCUUGUAUAACUUAGUGUGUCAUUUUGAAACUUGAAUUCAUUCUUAUCAAUUUAAAGGAUCUUAAAAGGAUUUGGAAAUGGAACAAGUAGCUUCUAGACCAGAUACUACCUGUGGCAAGAAUGCUGCCUACCAGUUGACUGCUGGUCCUACCACAGUCAAAGUAUUCCUCAUUAAAGAGAGAAUCUCAGGUUCUCACUGGAGGCACUGUGCAUAUUUUCAACCAGAUCACCAGGAGCUGAGAUCUUCUUCAGUCCCUAGCCAGGAAUACCCAUUUGAUUUCUAGGGUGCCAUCUAAUCCUGGGCU
rnacentral:sRNA from 1 species